UUUGUAGUGAUUAACGACUGGACGUAGAUUCUGUUGAAUCGAACCAGUAUAAAAAUACUCGUGUGAUUUUUCUUUUCCCUACACUCAUUUUAUUUUACGUAUGUCAACUGUUUGUUUAAUUUUCUGAAAGAAAAUUAUUUUUACUAAAAGGACCAAUUUCAUUUUAACUGUGAUGGAACACGCUUUCCCCUCUCUGUAUUUUUAAUUCCGCUGCGCUUUACUCUUCGAAAAUUACCCCCUUCAAUAUCAACACGACCCAGUCACGACCCUCCCCGUCACCCAUCGUCCGUCAGCAGCCCACAUCAGUCCAACCAUCUACAAAGGAUCAACAGGAUGAUGAACAUGAUUCUGAUGACUAUGUAGUAUUUUAGUUUUAUUUUGUUAUUGAUCAUAGGUGUUAGUUAGUACAUUUGAAUUUUAGUACAUUUGAAUUUUAGUACAUCAUGAUUUUGGUACAUUAUCUUUGGUCAUGGAUGAUAUUGUUUUAUGUUUCAC
rnacentral:lncRNA from 1 species